AGUAUUGUCUUCCACCUCUUCACUCUGAGUCUGUGUUUGUCCUUGUGGCUGAGGUGUGUUUCCUGGAGGCAACAAACUGUUGGAUCUUGUUCUUUAAUCCAUUUUACCACUCUGUGUCUCUUUAUCGGAGAAUUCAAUCCAUUUACAUUGAGGGACUUCCAGGAAUAUGUUGAAUUAAAGUGGCAAGAGUGGGCAUCCUUGUCUUGUUCCUUAUCUUAGAAGACAUUCUUCCAGCUUUUCAUCAUUGAGUAUGAUAUCAGCUGUGGGCUUGUCAUAUACGGCCUUUAUAUUGUAUUGAGGGUAAAUCUGAUUCCUGUAACUCCAUCUUGGCUAGAAGUAGAUGGUUACAGCUUCACUCUUAACGUUAUAGCACCUGCAACCUUCUUCAAAGGAAUUCUCUUCAGUUACUAGAGCCACUUCUCAUGGAGAGCUGAAGAUGUCUGAAGUUUACAAAUCCUUGGAGUAGCCAGUAGCCAGCCACUGGUUCAGGAGUAUGAAAGUCUAAUUCCUUUGCCUCCAGCAUUCAGAAGCGAAGCAGAGGAAUGGACCUGGGCAUCUCUCCAUUCAAUAUAGAGAUUUUGUCUUAACCUCUGUGGAAUAAUGGUCUCUCAAAGAUGUCCACAUCCUAAUCCCAGAAGUCUUCGAAUACGUUAUGUUACAUGGCAGAGGAGAAUUAAGGUGGCAGAGGGGAAUAAAGUUUGAGAUGGAAUUAAGGUUGAUAAUCGGCUGACUUUAAAUGGGGAGAUUAUCCUGGAUUGUAUAGUUGGAUUUAAAUAUGGAGGAGGAAGGCAGCAGACUCAGUGUCAAAAUGAUGCAACAUGAGAAAGACUUAACUGGCCAUUACUGGCUUUGAAGAUGGAAAGGGGCCAUGAGCCAAGAAAUGCAGGCAGCCUCUAGAAGCCGGAAAAGACAAGAAAACAGAUUCUCGUCUAGAACCUCCAGAAGGAGUUCAACCCUGCUGAGACCCUGACUUUAACCCAGUGAGGCCCAUUUUGGACUACUGAUCUCCAGAACUUGUGGAACUUGACCGUUCACCCUCAGUCCUGCCUGGUAUUCUCAAGUCCAGAACAUCCUGGGACAAUCUCUCCCAGCACGAAUCAACAAGUCCUGCCUAUUGUCUGCCAACAUUGCAGAAGGGGCCCGUCUCCAGGUCUCCGGGUUGCGGAAUGGAUCUAGUGAGCAAACUGCUUUUUAAGCAGAUUUUCAACCAAUCCUCCCAUUUCAAGACUCCCUCCCAACUCCUCAAGUCUAUAUAGAGGCACCUUGUGCCUUCAAUUCCUGAAGUUUUAUAGGAUUCCGCAGCAGAGAUAGACUUGCUUUGAUUAUUGCAAGUACAUUUCCUCUUUCCAUGCUCUGCUAAAUCAGACACCUCUCAUCCUCGUUCCUUCUUCCAAAAUUUACAGACAUCUCUUGUCUGCUUCCUCUCAUUCUUUUUGAGCCUUAAGAUUUCAUGCUGUUUUGGUUCUUUAUUGUCAUUUUAGUGGGACUUUAAGAAAUAAUGGAAAUAAAUACUC
rnacentral:lncRNA from 1 species